UGGGGAAUAUUGGACAAUGGGGGCAACCCUGAUCCAGCCAUGCCGCGUGUGUGAAGAAGGCCUUUUGGUUGUAAAGCACUUUAAGCAGGGAGGAGAGGCUAAUGGUUAAUACCCAUUAGAUUAGACGUUACCUGCAGAAUAAGCACCGGCUAACUCUGUGCCAGCAGCCGCGGUAAUACAGAGGGUGCGAGCGUUAAUCGGAAUUACUGGGCGUAAAGCGAGUGUAGGUGGCUCAUUAAGUCACAUGUGAAAUCCCCGGGCUUAACCUGGGAACUGCAUGUGAUACUGGUGGUGCUAGAAUAUGUGAGAGGGAAGUAGAAUUCCCAGGUGUAGCGGUGAAAUGCGUAGAGAUCUGGAGGAAUACCGAUGGCGAAGGCAGCUUCCUGGCAUAAUAUUGACACUGAGAUUCGAAAGCGUGGGUAGCAAACAGGAUUAGAUACCCUGGUAGUCCACGCCGUAAACGAUGUCUACUAGCCGUUGGGGUCCUUGAGACUUUAGUGGCGCAGUUAACGCGAUAAGU
rnacentral:rRNA from 1 species